rnacentral:rRNA from 1 species
CCUACGGGUGGCAGCAGUGAGGAAUAUUGGUCAAUGGGCUUACGCCUGAACCAGCCAAGUCGCGUGAGGGAAGACUGCCCUAUGGGUUGUAAACCUCUUUUGUCAGGGAGCAACGCCGGCUACGUGUAGCCGGACUGAGAGUACCUGAAGAAAAAGCAUCGGCUAACUCCGUGCCAGCAGCCGCGGUAAUACGGAGGAUGCGAGCGUUAUCCGGAUUUAUUGGGUUUAAAGGGUGCGUAGGCGGCAUUGUAAGUCAGCGGUGAAAUUCUGGGGGUCAACCAUGGCAUGGCCGUUGAAACUGGCAGGCUUGAGUAGGCUUGAGGCAGGCGGAAUGCGUGGUGUAGCGGUGAAAUGCAUAGAUAUCACGCAGAACCCCGAUUGCGAAGGCAGCAUGCCAGGGCCUGACUGACGCUGAUGCACGAAAGCGUGGGGAUCAAACAGGAUUAGAUACCCCUGUAGUC